CAGUAGCCGCGGUAAUACGGAGGGGGCUAGCGUUGUUCGGAAUUACUGGGCGUAAAGCGCACGUAGGCGGCUUGGUAAGUUAGAGGUGAAAGCCUGGAGCUCAACUCCAGAAUUGCCUUUAAGACUGCCGAGCUAGCAGGUGAGAGAGGUAAGUGGAAUUCCGAGUGUAGAGGUGAAAUUCGUAGAUAUUCGGAAGAACACCAGUGGCGAAGGCGGCUUACUGGCUCAUACUGGACGCUGAGGUGCGAAAGCGUGGGGAGCAAACAGGAUUAGAUACCCCUGUAGUCCCUGUCUCUUAUAU
rnacentral:rRNA from 1 species